rnacentral:snRNA from 1 species
AUACUUACCUUGUGGCAGAGUCCACCGCCCAUCAAGGGUGGAUUCUCCUGGUGUCCCACCUUCAUAGCACAACGAAGGUAGGCACCGUGCCAGCUGUCUUCGGGCACCUGGGCUGCUCAAUUUUUGAUUUAUUCCUUGGGGCCUUG